AGCGAACGCUGGCGGCAGGCUUAACACAUGCAAGUCGAACGAGCCUUUCGGGGCUAGUGGCGGACGGGUGAGUAACGCGUGGGAACGUGCCCUAAGGUACGGAACAACUGAGGGAAACUUCAGCUAAUACCGUAUGUGCCCGAGAGGGGAAAGAUUUAUCGCCUUAGGAGCGGCCCGCGUCUGAUUAGCUAGUUGGUGGGGUAAAGGCCCACCAAGGCUUCGAUCAGUAGCUGGUCUGAGAGGAUGGCCAGCCAUAUUGGGACUGAGACACGGCCCAAACUCCUACGGGAGGCAGCAGUGGGGAAUCUUGCGCAAUGGGCGAAAGCCUGACGCAGCCAUGCCGCGUGGAUGAUGAAGGUCUUAGGAUUGUAAAAUCCUUUCAGCGGGGACGAUAAUGACGGUACCCGCAGAAGAAGCCCCGGCUAACUUCGUGCCAGCCGCCGCCGUAAAAC
rnacentral:rRNA from 1 species